CCUACGGGAGGCAGCAGUGGGGAAUUGUUCGCAAUGGGCGCAAGCCUGACGACGCAACGCCGCGUGGAGGAUGAAGACCUUCGGGUCGUAAACUCCUUUCGAUCGAGACGAAUGUUUUCCGGGUGAACAAUCCGGAAAAGUGACGGUACCGAGAGAAGAAGCCCCGGCUAACUCUGUGCCAGCAGCCGCGGUAAUACAGGGGGGGUCAAGCGUUGUUCGGAAUUACUGGGCGUAAAGGGCUUGCAGGUGGCCAACUAAGUCAGACGUGAAAUCCCUCAGCUUAACUGGGGAACUGCGUCUGAUACUGGAUGGCUUGAGUUUGGGAGAGGGAUGCGGAAUUCCAGGUGUAGCGGUGAAAUGCGUAGAUAUCUGGAGGAACACCGGUGGCGAAGGCGGCAUCCUGGACCAACACUGACACUGAGGAGCGAAAGCCAGGGGUAGCAAACGGGGAUUAGAUACCCCGGGUAGUCCUGGCCCUAAACGGAUAGAAUGCUUAGGUGUGGCGGGUAUCGAUCCCUGCCGUGCCGAAGCUAACGCAUUAAGCAUUCCGCUGGGGAGUACGGUCGCAAGGCUAGAAACCUCGAAAGUAGUAGUCGGACGCGAGAGAGACGACGACGACGACGACGGAGGAGGAGG
rnacentral:rRNA from 1 species